rnacentral:rRNA from 1 species
UCUUUUUGUUUAAAAUUUAAAGUCUUGCCCUGCCCUCUGAUUUAUUUAAUGGCCGCAGUAUUUUGACUGUGCUAAGGUAGCAUAAUCAUUAGUUUUUUAAUUGAAAGCUGGAAUGAAAGGUUGGAUGAAAAAAUAACUAUCUAUUUUUAAAUUUUAUUAGAAUUUUAUUUUUAAGUAAAAAAGCUUAAAUUUUAUUAAAAGACGAGAAGACCCUUUAGAGUUUAAUUUUUUAAAAUAAAAUUAAAUUUAGAAUUUUUAUUAAUUUUUUUUUAGUAAAAUUUAAUUGGGGUGAUUAAAAAAUUUAAUAAACUUUUUUUUAUUUAUUCUAUAAAUUAAUAUAAAUUUGAUCCAUUUUUAAUGAUUAUAAGAUUAAAUUACCUAAGGGAUAACAGCGUAAUUUUAUUUUAAAGUUCUUAUUAAAAAUAAAGUUUGCGACCUCGAUGUUGGAUUAAAA